ACUUCUUCAACAUCUGAAAUUGCUAAUCCAACAGCACACAUGCAUGAAAACGUACAGAUUUGCAAUCCUCAGACUCUUUCCUGAAUUUAAGACUAACUGGUGAAAGAAGAACAUGCAAAACAGUGAAAGUAACGACUGGGGUGAGAAUCUGAACUUCAUGUUCCCACUUAAAAACAGAAGUAAUGUGAACAAAUAUCUUCCUAUUCUGUGGGGACUGGGAUUUAUGAUAAAAGAAAAACAGGCGCUAAGAGCAAUGUGUGCUCCACACAUUAAAAGGGAACAGUCAGCUAAAUCACUGUUGUGAUGGAAAACAGAGUGGCCUUUGAUAGAUAUAAUUUUCUUGAAGGAAGUCAAACAUCUCCUGUCUUUUUAGGCCAUGUACAUGGUGAUAAACAAAUCAAAUAGAAUGUUUCACAGGGUAAAAUUACAUAUUAGACCUGAUUUUUAAUUCUGUAACGCAAGCUUUAACUUAGCAACCUGAUAUACAACCUCAUAUAUGUCAAUUUUUGUUAAUAUUGGUGGACUUGUUAUCAGACUGGAUCUGGACAAAAUUCAUCAAAAUCACUAAUUUUCUGAAAGUGAAAUGGUCAUUUUUGGGACUGGGACUAUUUGUGUGCCAAAUCCCUGAGCUCUACUUUAGUUAUAUGAUGAAUAUCCCACAUAAUUAGCCACAGGUCUGUUUAGAAAAUUCAUUCUGUUUAAGAAAUUGAUUUAAUAUAUCUUCUAUGGCAUUUACAAAU